rnacentral:rRNA from 1 species
AGGCAGCAGUGAGGGAUAUUGCCCAAUGGACGGAAGUCUGAGGCAGCAACGCCGCGUGCGGGAUGAAGGCCUUCGGGUUGUAAACCGCUUUUCUGCGCGAAGAGGAAGGACGGUAGCGCAGGAAGAAGUCUCGGCUAACUACGUGCCAGCAGCCGCGUGUAAAAACGUAGGAGGCGAAGCGUUAUCCGGAUUUACUGGGUGUAAAGCGCGUGCAGGCGGUCAUGUAAGUGGUGCGUGAAAGCGCCCGGCUCAACCGGGCGAGGCCGUGCCAAACUGCGUGACUGGAGGCAGGUAGAGGCGCGUGGAAUUCCGGGUGUAGUGGUGAAAUGCGUAGAUAUCCGGAGGAACACCAGUGGCGAAGGCGGCGCGCUGGGCCUGACCUGACGCUAAGACGCGAAAGCAUGGGGAGCGAACGGGAUUAGAAACCCCGGUAGUCCAUGCUGUAAACGCUGCAGACUAGGUGUUGCGUGCGACGAGUAUGCAGUGCCGAAGCCAACGUGAUAAGUCUGCCACCUGGGGACUACGGCCGCAAGGUUAAAACUCAAAGGAAUUGACGGGGGCCCGCACAAGCAGCGGAGCGUGUGGUUUAAUUCGAGGCUACACGAAGAACCUUACCUGGGCUUGACAUGGCGGUGGUAGGGAACCGAAAGGGGACCGACCUUCGGGAGCCGUCACAGGUGCUGCAUGGCUGUCGUCAGCUCGUGUCGUGAGAUGUUCGGUUAAGUCCGGUAACGAGCGCAACCCUCGCCGCUAGUUACAAGUGUCUAGCGGGACUGCCCGUUGAACGCGGGAGGAAGGUGGGGAUGACGUCAAGUCAGCAUGGCCUUUAUGUCCAGGGCUACACACACGCUACAAUGGCCGGUACAAUGGGUCGCCAACCCGCGAGGGGGAGCCAAUCCAUCAAAGCCGGUCUCAGUUCGGAUUGCAGGCUGCAACCCGCCUGCAUGAAGUCGGAAUUGCUAGUAACCGCAGGUCAGCUAUACUGCGGUGAUACGUUCCCGGGCCUUGUACACACCGCCCGUCACGUCAUGGGAGCUGGUCAUGCCUGAAGUCGGUGGGCUACCUCACGGAGCAACCGCCUAAGGCAGGG